CACAUUAAAAUCCCCAUAUCAUAAUUUUGUUACAGUAUUUUAAUUUUAUGUAAAUAUCCAGUGUGGAACCCCUUUGUUUUUAGACAUGUUUUCACUGUAAAUUUCCUGUAGGGAACCUCAAUUAACUGGACCUUUAAACCCGCCAGUCCGUGCAAGAUAGUUUGGACACGGCAGGCCAGAGAGGAGGAAGUCUUUACCCCUCUCACGUAUAACCUUUUUCUGAAUAUCCAGCAUUUAUAUUUUGUAUGUACUGAGUAAAACUUGCAGGGCUUUCUCUGGCACUCCAUUCUUCUUAAAAAGAAGGCUAUGGUCCAGCUUUUCUGAGGUUCCAGCCAUACGUCAAAGUUGGUGUACGACAGUGAGGUUGCCCAGUGUGCCCUUGGAGUGUAGUAUAUAGGACGCCACCCUUGGAACCUAUAGUCCAUCCUCCAGCCUGUGAGGGGGAAAGCAA